GAUGAACGCUGGCGGCGUGCGUAAUACAUGCAAGUCGAGCGAACAGACGAGGAGCUUGCUCCUCUGACGUUAGCGGCGGACGGGUGAGUAACACGUGGAUAACCUACCUAUAAGACUGGGAUAACUUCGGGAAACCGGAGCUAAUACCGGAUAAUAUAUUGAACCGCAUGGUUCAAUAGUGAAAGACGGUUUUGCUGUCACUUAUAGAUGGAUCCGCGCCGCAUUAGCUAGUUGGUAAGGUAACGGCUUACCAAGGCAACGAUGCGUAGCCGACCUGAGAGGGUGAUCGGCCACACUGGAACUGAGACACGGUCCAGACUCCUACGGGAGGCAGCAGUAGGGAAUCUUCCGCAAAGGGCGAAAGCCUGACGGAGCAACGCCGCGUGAGUGAUGAAGGUCUUCGGAUCGUAAAACUCUGUUAUUAGGGAAGAACAAAUGUGUAAGUAACUAUGCACGUCUUGACGGUACCUAAUCAGAAAGCCACGGCUAACUACGUG
rnacentral:rRNA from 1 species